AUUUUACUACCUCAAUGGGAUCUCCAAUUUACGCGGGUCCGGUCGCCAUCUUUAUUAUCGGCGAGACAACAAUACGUGUCGGUGGAGGGGAGGAGCUUCGGCAAGUCAGCAAAUCAGCGGAGAGGAAAAGUAGCCAUGUUAGCAAUGCAUUCAGCUAAAGCUCAAAUAACUACAGGAAGCCUCAGUUAAUAUGGUGAUUAAUAUGUGUUAACAUACAAAAAGCACUGAUAAAUAAAAAUAAUAAAAGAAAACAAAUAAAAUUCACAAUGCCACUGUAGGAAAGACAAAAUCCCAUACAUAGCCAAAGAUAUUGCUUUAUUAUGUCACAUAUAUCCAUUUCCAACAACUGCCAAUCAUUUUCACAGUACAGAUCGGUCCGUGUACGGAUCUGGUAAUUGGAUUUUCCGUUCUGAAACGGGUAUUGAAAAAGAACGAGUGGUUAUUUGAUUUUCGUUUUAAAAUACAAAAAUUAAAAUUGAAAUACAAGGCGUUUUUCCUUUUCAUGAUCAAAAAGGGAUAUACGAUUUUUUUUUUUUUUUAAAAAUGCUUUGAUUUUCGUUUAAUAUUUAGAAUAACAAGAAAGUAAAAUCAGUAAGAGACAGAAACGAAAAAAGGUCCGUUUUUUCAUUUUCUGAGACCGGAAGUGGUCAUCAGCAAGUGUGGACCCAAACAGAGUAGGGUGCAUAACUGUGCAUACAUUUUUUUCGUGAGUUUUCAUGGUCAGAAUGAGAGAUCAGGUGGUCGAUCUUAAAAUAAAUCAAUAUUGAUUUUUUUUUUAUAGUGUUAAAGUUUUACAAAGCCAGGGGGCGGGACUACUUGACUGACAGUCCGGUCUGGAAUGAUUGACAGGUCCUAUGGAGGACGCUGCAGAGACUCUGCUCUCUUCGUUUGGAUUAAUUCUGAUAUAAUAACUGUUAGUUUAUUUAUCGGUGGAGCAGCAUAACAUUUUCCACAGACAGUUUUCCUGCCCGUUGGCUUGUUUUAACCAGUUUUCUACCUUCGGCUGAUUCUACCAGCAGACACUAAGGACUCUAAUAGUUCGGUAAGUAAAUGUUUACUUUCGUAUGGGUGCCGCUUUUAAUGCACUUUAUAUGCAGCUUUAGUGUCAGAUGUAAUGUGUGCCAUGCACUCCAGAUGUUGGUGGAGUUUGUUUCAGUGUGUGUUGACCAGAGAAGAAAGUUAGCAUAGUAAACAUUAGCUUUAAUGUUAGCGAUGCUAACCGAGCUAGCUGCUCAGUCGUAGCCUGAUUAAAGCUAACGUAGCAUCAAGCUAAUGUGUUGCGUUUCAUGUAAACAGCUGAAGUGUGUUGUGUUCCUGUAAUGUGGUUCAUAAAGUUCAUAAAACUGUGGCUGGUUGACAUUAAUGUAACGUUCAAGAAACUUAAAUGUGAUUAGAACAGUAACGUUAAUGUUCUAGUUGUCAGUAAUCAGCUUUAAUUUGACACUAAAACAGACUGAUAGUUUUAAACGACAUCAGUUUCAUUAAUUUGUUGAAAAUUGUCUCAUUUGUUGUUGUGACGUUGCUGCUGAUUCAUUAAAAGCAGAUGAUCCGUGUUGAAGACACGUUUAGUUCUAGUAUCAGAAGUACAAUAAGGAAAAUGGAAGUUUAGUUCUGCUACAUCAAAGAUUUCAGGAUUAAAAUAACUAAAUGAGUCUUUACGCCUCAAACUUUGUUUUUACAAUAAAGAAUUAAUGAAAUAAUCACAGAUAAUAAAAAUAUAAAUAGCAGAGAAAACCUGAGAGAAUAAUUUCCUGAAAAGUCUGUGAAGGAAAAGCAGCUUUUUUAAUUCUGAAAGAUCAGAAUCAGCUCCAACAUCUGCAUCUGACAGCAUCAAGUCAACCAGAAAGAAAAGAAAAAAGAAAAUGACUUCUUUCUGAUCACAUCUUUUCCGCUGCUCACAGUCUGCUGCUGCUCACAUUCUUCACAUUUAUAGUCCACUUUUAAUAGUUCAGCAGACAGGUGCUCUGCUUUGGAGUGUGACGAUGUCGUUGGUGAUGUGGAGAGUGAAGUUUCUGUUUCAUCCACAGCGUGCUUUAGGGCGCCGGGGUUGGACUUGAUGUUUGAAAUACUGACCGACAGCUCAGAUUUAACUGUCUGUAGUUCUGUUUUGAUAGGUGUUAAACUUUCACUCAAAGCCGCCAGGAGCUGGGUCUUUAAAAUAACUGCCGUCUCGUUACAGAGUGAAAGUAGCAGUUCCUCCUUAAGGUCAGAGAUUGCAGCAUCUGAGGGCCUCUUCAAAAGAAGACGUAGUUGAUGAAGGCGUUCUGGAGCAGGACCAGAAAGACCACGACCAAGCAGCCUUGAGAUCUUAGGCAGCGUCUCCCUCAGGUCCCUCUCUAUCUCCCCACACAUCCACCAACCACUGGAACACAUCUCCAAAGUUUUGCUGGGCCAGCUCAGCUUCCCCUCAGAAGAAGUGCUGCCACCUGCCAGAUGAAGGAGCCUUUUGAGAGGCAGCUGGCAUCGUGAUUGGACUGUACUUUGGUCUGUUCCAAUCCAGCUUCAGCUCCAGAGACGGCAGGCGGGACGAGUCAACGGAGGCCGGGUGGACGAAGGCAUGCAGCUGAGUACAAUCCAGAAAACAACAGAGGAGGAGUGCAGUGGCCCAGAGCCAGAACAAACAGAGUAGCAUCGUAUGUCUCUUAGAAAACAUCAUAGUAUAG